rnacentral:rRNA from 1 species
AUUGAACGCUGGCGGCAGGCUUAACACAUGCAAGUCGAGCGAGCGGCGGACGGGUGAGUAAUGUAUGGGAAACUGCCCGAUGGAGGGGGAUAACUACUGGAAACGGUAGCUAAUACCGCAUACUAUCAGAUGAGCCCAGAUGGGAUUAGCUAGUAGGUGGGGUACAGGCUCACCUAGGCGACGAUCGCUAGCUGGUCUGAGAGGAUGAUCAGCCACACUGGGACUGAGAUACGGUCCAGACUCCUACGGGAGGCAGCAGUGGGGAAUAUUGCACAAUGGGCGCAAGCCUGAUGCAGCCAGCCCGCGUGUAUGAAGAAGGCCUUCGGGUUGUAAAGUACUUUCAGCGAGGAGGCGUUACUCGCAGAAGAAGCACCGGCUAACUCCGUGCCAGCAGCCGCGGUAAUAC